UCGGUUGCUGAGUGUUUAAUUUUGAUUCAUGUUUUGUUAUGUUGGAUUUCAUUAUCACAUUCCUUCAAAAGGGAGGAUAAUGUAGUCCUUGGAUUCCUGUGUGUUUAAGAAUGCUGGCAUGCUUCUUUUAGCAGGAUCAGUUGGCUAAAAGGAAACCUUGGGUUAUGUUUCCAUGCUGUUUAGGACUUGGUGGAUGCUGUUGGCUGUGUUUUCGUGUUGAGGGCUGUGGAGAGGAUGGUGAGGUCUGGUCAGUGCCUCUGUGGCUCAUGUUGCUUAAACAUUCUUUGAAUAUCCGAAUCUCAUGGAAUAGAUUAUUAUUAUGUUUAAGGACUGAGCCUCAUACAGUUCCUGCUGGCCUCAAGCUCACUAUGUAGCCUAAGGAUGGCAUUGAACUUCCGAGUCUCCUGCUUACACUUCCUGAACAGUGGGAUCACAGGUAUAGGCCACCAACCCCAGUUUGAUGAUGUCCAGUGCUCUGCGCAUGCUAGGUGGAGCUCCAAGUUAUUCAAGAUGACAGAUGACCUCCUUUGCCCUUGCUGUCCCCAGUCAAGCACAAGCACUGCCUGUGAUGCCUUCUCUCCAGCUGGCUGUGACUCUGGGGCCCAGAGCACUAUCCUAGAUGCUGCUCUCAGAGAGCUCCAUGCUGUUUCCCUUUUGUAACUCGCCUUCUUGAGCCCAUCAAACAGAACCCUCGCCUCUGUCUACUCCAAGACUCCUCAAUCAUGACAUGAGAGGAUACGCUUGCAGCAUCCAUCUUUGACUGGAACCAUUCCAGUGACAAGAGAGAUAAUUACAAUGGCGAGAAACACAAUUGGAAACCUGGCUUCGUGGGCUGGGAUGCAGACAAAGCAUUGCAAUAGCCCAGUGCCUCUGUGAAGGCUGUAUUUCACAUCCCAACAACACGGAACAAAUUGCACAAACGCAAGGAAUUAGAUCCCUUGGUAACAAAUAUUGAAGUCACUUUUUAAAAUGUCACCAAAUGGCUCUGUUAACUCUGUUUUGUAACAAGUGAGAGGCAGAUGGCACUUUGAAGUGUAUGAUGCAUCUUGGAAGAGCAAAAUUGCUCAGGCAUUUUUGUCUAGUUUGCUAAGAUGGAGUGAUGAUGCCCCAGAUGAAAGGCGCUUGGCAUGCCCUCACACAAAAGGCUGAGUACCACUGAGGAUCACACUGUUCACUGUAAGUUGGGUUUCCUGAAGGCUUACACACUUGCUGAAUGAAAGUUGCAAAGCAAGGGGCUGCAGGGGGUGAGGGGAGAAAGUUCCCAUCUUCUAAAUGCCUACAAUGCUUUUCAUGUAGUUGGUGACAAUUAUACAGCUUAUUAAAUUCUCUGCAAUUACUCUCCUUCCUUUUAACUUCUUAUUUUAUUUUACUGUUUUGAGACAGGGUGUGGGCUAGCCUCUGCUCCUUUUGUAGCUAAGGAUGACCCUGACCAUAGGAAACUCUGGCUUGCUGAAAUUACAGUGUGAACCACACCACUUCUAGUUUGUGCAGCUCAGGGAAGGGAACCCAGGGCCUCUUUUUUCUGGGCAAGCAGUUGGUCAGAUAAGCUAAGGCUCAGAUCUUUCAUUUUAAGUAUGACAAAGUUGAGGUCCAGGAGCACCCCAUACAUAUUGAGCUGGGAAUCAGGCCUUGACCUGACAUCCUAGAUCUUUCAAGCUUAUCCAUUCCAGGUCAAAUUCUGACCCUGUCUGCCUUUAUUGCUUAUCCAAAAACUAUUUUCAUGCUCAGAAGAAUUGUUAAAUGUUAAAAUAGACACAAAAAGUAAAUAUUGACAUAAUGUCUCAUUUUUGUGUCAAAUUCCGAAUUUACUAUUUUCAGAAGUAGGAAUUUAUAACAUGCUUUUGAUAGUUAUUCCAAAUCCAUUUCAAAGCGUGUUUCACUUGCCUUCCCCCCAUAACAAAGACUGUAAUGCAAAACCUGUAGACUUCAGAAUUACUGUUUAACUGGGGCGGGAGGGGGGGCAGGUUACCCACAUUACAUACAUUAUUGGGUAGACAAUUAGCACAUUCAUGACUUGAAAGUUCGUUCCUAUCCCAAAUUAGAAGUCAGACAAAGAAAUAACUUUUACUUUUCUGAAUGGAAUAUGGACUCAACACUGGAGGUGCAGCGACUACAGUUGCCACUUUGAAAAUGGAGCCCACACAGUGACAUUGAUGGGACAAGAACUUGAAGGGGGAUUGGUUUCCUGAUGGCAUCCUGAGCAGCCACAUCACCCUUGGACCACCUACAUUCGAACACCUUGUUAUGUGUUGAGAUAAACCCCCUAGUUGCUAAAGGAACCGGGUUUAUGAUACCCACAGGAAGUACAAUGCUAACCGAUUCCCCCAUAAUAGAAUUUUAAGAGAAUUCCAGUUUUCUAACAUAGUGCUAUAUCCAUGCCAGUUUUUAUCAGGAUUUGUGUCUCCAAUAUAGAGAAAUAUUGCAAAUUUAACAAGAGAGUUUUAGGGAUGGUGCUUAUUUUGUUGGGUACAGAGUAGGGCAGAGUAAGAUGGGGGGCUCUUUCUGGUUGUGGGAAGAUAGUCCCCAGAGUCCUGAACCAAGAGACUAUCAUCCUUUCAGACAAUAUGGGUUUGAGGGAGUAUGAGUGAGCGAGCACUGGACUCCAUGUGACCCACCAUUUUGCUUUGCUUUGCAAAGUUAUGACCUUUGGAGAGCAAGAAAGGAUCCAGAGAGAUCAUUCUUUUCUACAUUUUUUACCUUGGGGAAGGACCACACUGAAGCCACAGCAGGCAUAUAUGAUAACCAAUGUGGUUUUAAUAGACCUCCAAGGAAGAUACUUCCUCAGCCUCUGCCCUCAGGGGACCAUAUCAACGCUGAAAACCUUGCAGUACAUUCUUGUUUUACUUAAAUAGACAUGUGAAAAAAAAAAAAAAA